rnacentral:lncRNA from 1 species
AAAAUGCUCCUAUAUCAACGUACCUUACAUGUCAAGAUCCAUGUAAGGACCUUACCCCCUUUAUCUUCCUCCUUAAAAAAGCUGAAAUAAUAUGAUGCUAAACAAUAUAAAAUUAGCUUAAAAUUUUAGUUUCAUUGAAAUCAAGAAACCAAUCAAAGCUGUAAAUGACCAUCAAGAAGGAAAAUUUGGCUGGCCUUAAUCUAUUCUCCAUCAAAAGAGAAAAAUAUAAUUAACCACUUGAAAUGAAACCCAACAAAUCAUCCCCACACUUGAGAACAAAAAAAAAAGAAAGAAAACAAGAAAAACCUUUCGUGAAUGCCUAGCAAAUCCCACACAAGCAACCAAAUAAACAAGUAAUUCAUCAAAAAAAAAAGGAUACUAUUACUAGCCAACUAGUAAACCUUUCUAAUUAAAGAAAAG